GGCUGGUCUGAGUGCAGUGGUAUUUACAACUAAUUGAUCACAACCAAUUACAGAUUCCUUUGUUCCUUCUCUCCCACUGCUUCACUUGACUAAAAA
ensembl:misc_RNA Y_RNA Y RNA